rnacentral:rRNA from 1 species
UCUCCGAGGACGGCGCCGGGCGCAAGUCCCCAUGAGAGGGGCAUUCCUCCCGGAGCGGGUGCUAGGCCCGUAACGCCGGGGGCCCGUUCGCGGAGUUGUCGUUUUCCCCGGAGUCSGGUUGCUUGGGAGUGCAGCCCAAAGUGGGUGGUAAACUCCACCUAAAGCUAAAUAAUGCCGAGAGACCGAUAGCGAACAAGUACCAUGAGGGAAAGUUGAAAAGCACUUUGAAGAGAGAGUUCAAGAGUACGUGAAACCGUUCGGAGGUAAACGGGUGGGACCUCGAAGUCCGACGGCGGUGGCGGAUUCAGUCAAAAACUGGCGCGACCGGAGGUGCUGACCGCCCACGACGGGGGUGCCACCUUCGGAAGCGUGCACCUGGAGAUGGCGCAUUUCCGCACCCCGCCCUUUGGGCGUCGCGACGGGUUGGAAGGCCGUCGUACGGGCGGGUCGAAAGGUAGCCGCCUUUCCUCCGGGAUCGGCGGUGUUACAGGCGGCCCGGGCCCCGGCGGUCGACCGACCGUGGGACCGGACGUUCCCUCCCCGCGACGGGGGCGGUCUCCGCGCCGUUCGAGCGCGGCGCCGCGGCACCACCGCGACGGUGAGCUGCGCGUCGUCGAGCGUAUCGGCCGCGAGAGUACCGCGUGCGGAACCGAGGGUCAGCGGCGAGUAGGUCGGUUACCCACCCGACCCGUCUUGAAACACGGACCAAGGAGUCCAAUGCGCGCGCGAGUUCCCGGGACUUGACCAGGCCCGAGGGCGCAAUGAAAGUGAAGGGCGGCGUCGGCCGUCCGAGUUGGGAUCCGCCCCUCACGGGGGCGGCGCACCAACGGCCCGUCUCGCACCGGUUUCGGUGGGACGGAGCGGGAGCGCGCGCCUUGGGACCCGAAAGAUGGUGAACUAUGCCUGGGCAGGACGAAGCCAGAGGAAACUCUGG